rnacentral:rRNA from 1 species
UACAGAGGGGGCAAGCGUUGUUCGGAAUUACUGGGCGUAAAGGGCGCGUAGGCGGCCUGUUAAGUCGAACGUGAAAUCCCCGGGCUCAACCCGGGAACUGCGUCCGAUACUGGCAGGCUUGAAUUCGGGAGAGGGAUGCGGAAUUCCAGGUGUAGCGGUGAAAUGCGUAGAUAUCUGGAGGAACACCGGUGGCGAAGGCGGCAUCCUGGACCGAGAUUGACGCUGAGGCGCGAAAGCCAGGGGAGCAAGCGGG